ensembl:processed_transcript RIKEN cDNA D330023K18 gene
CGUGCUCUGGAAGGGGGCGCGGCUGCCGCCUCCGAGGUCCUUGAGAUCAUUUUACUGCAAAAUGCAACUCUGGUCACCGAGGGACCUGAGCGGAUCACCUCGGCACUCUUCAGUUGGCCUCCAAGGGCGGAUUUCCGGCAAAGCCCCUGUGAGGACCCUGAAGCGUUUGCCAUGGCAACCAUGGCGGGGCAAGUUCAAGCCGGGCCUCCUUUCUGCCUCGCCGGGCUUGGGGGUUGAACCAAAGUCUGGAACCCGCAAUGUUCGCCACUGACCCUGGCAGAUGAUUGGACUGCCGUCGGUGGUACCUGAGAGGACCAGAAGAUGGUGUCAGAGCCUCUGGAGCUGGAGUUACUGGCAAUUGUGUGUUGCCUGACAUCAUGAGUACUAGAAACUGAACUCAGGAAUCUAGAAGAGCAGUAAGUGCUCUUAACCACUGAGCAAUGUCUCUAACCCAACAUGAUAGAUCUAUAUCUAUAAAUACAUAUAGAUAGGUAAUUAAGUUUGUUUUUAUGUGUGUUUACAAAUGCCAUGGGGUGUACCCAUAGAGGCCAGAAGGGGGCAUCAGAUCCCUGUAACUGAAGUUACCUGUGGUUGUCAGCCAUCCAGUGUGCUUGCUGGGAACCCAAACUCCAAUCUUCUGGAAGAACAGGAACUCUUAGCUUCAGCCCAAUAGGAUAUACUUUAAUGCCACAAACUGUGAACUUCAACAAAUUCACUUGGAACCAGGAGGUGGUUGGUGGUACACAUCUUUAAUCCAGGCACUCGGAAAGCAGAGGCAGGCGAGUGGAUCUCUGAGUUCAAGGCCAACCAGAACUACUCAGAGAAACUUCGAAUUGAAAACCCAAACAAACAAACAAAUCGAUUUGUUGGGACUAUGCUGUCUAAUU